AUAAUUUAAACAUGACUUAUCUUUUUCAUACAUUUGUAGUAAAUUUUGAAUAAAAUAGAUAGUAAAACAUUGCAAGAAUGUCAACGUUGACAAAUAUUCGAAUCAGAGAGAGUAUUGUAAGAGAAACUGGUGGUCAAAAUACACCUCCAAGACUUUUUCAAAUCCUAAUACAACUUCUAAAAACAAGGAUAUAGUAUAGUGGUGUGGGGAAUGAGUUUCACUAGAAGUUUGUGUUUUGUUAUGUGUCUUGGCUGACUAGAGCCUUUCAUCGAUAUGUUUCAAACAUCCCUAUCAAAUCUCCACCUCACGUUGGCAAGCUUCUGAAACUCCCAGGCUGCAUAUACUUAGCUAGAGUAGGCCAAUCCGCUAUGUUUUUUUUUUUUUGAAAGGGAAUCAGGCAGGAGUUGCCAAUCCGCUAUGUUGACGGCAGGACUGUACUGCACCUACAGCCUUAUUG
rnacentral:lncRNA from 1 species